CUUUGACCUCGGAUCAGGUAGGGAUACCCGCUGAACUUAAGCAUAUCAAUAAGCGGAG
rnacentral:rRNA from 1 species